rnacentral:rRNA from 1 species
AUUGAACGCUGGCGGCAUGCCUUACACAUGCAAGUCGGACGGCAGCACGGGAGCAAUCCUGGUGGCGAGUGGCGAACGGGUGAGUAAUACAUCGGAACGUGUCCUGGAGUGGGGGAUAGCCCGGCGAAAGCCGGAUUAAUACCGCAUACGCUCUAAGGAGGAAAGCGGGGGAUCUUUCGGGACCUCGCGCUCAAGGGGCGGCCGAUGGCAGAUUAGCUAGUUGGUGGGGUAAAGGCCUACCAAGGCGACGAUCUGUAGCUGGUCUGAGAGGACGACCAGCCACACUGGGACUGAGACACGGCCCAGACUCCUACGGGAGGCAGCAGUGGGGAAUUUUGGACAAUGGGCGCAAGCCUGAUCCAGCAAUGCCGCGUGUGUGAAGAAGGCCUUCGGGUUGUAAAGCACUUUUGUCCGGAAAGAAAACCUCGKCCUUAAUACGGUGGGGGGAUGACGGUACCGGAAGAAUAAGCGCCGGC